rnacentral:rRNA from 1 species
AUUUCCUUCGGGACUGAUUAUUUUGUGACUGAGUGGCGGACGGGUGAGUAACGCGUGGGUAACCUGCCUUGUACAGGGGGAUAACAGUUGGAAACGGCUGCUAAUACCGCAUAAGCGCACGGCAUCGCAUGAUGCAGUGUGAAAAACUCCGGUGGUAUAAGAUGGACCCGCGUUGGAUUAGCUAGUUGGUGAGGUAACGGCCCACCAAGGCGACGAUCCAUAGCCGACCUGAGAGGGUGACCGGCCACAUUGGGACUGAGACACGGCCCAAACUCCUACGGGAGGCAGCAGUGGGGAAUAUUGCACAAUGGGCGAAAGCCUGAUGCAGCGACGCCGCGUGAGCGAAGAAGUAUUUCGGUAUGUAAAGCUCUAUCAGCAGGGAAGAUAAUGACGGUACCUGACUAAGAAGCACCGGCUAAAUACGUGCCAGCAGCCGCGGUAAUACGUAUGGUGCAAGCGUUAUCCGGAUUUACUGGGUGUAAAGGGAGCGCAGGCGGUGCGGCAAGUCUGAUGUGAAAGCCCGGGGCUCAACCCCGGUACUGCAUUGGAAACUGUCGUACUAGAGUGUCGGAGGGGUAAGCGGAACUCCUAGUGUAGCGGUGAAAUGCGUAGAUAUUAGGAGGAACACCAGUGGCGAAGGCGGC